rnacentral:misc_RNA from 1 species
AAGUCGUAACAAGGUUUCCGUAGGUGAACCUGCGGAAGGAUCAUUAACACGUAUCCAAACGGAAAAACCCCCCCAACGUGAACAUUCAAUCCUGCUCUUGUAACCCGCGUAGUUCGCAAUCUCUGGUAAAUCAUAGCCCGGAAAGUAGUUUUGAUUCAGAGACCUCUGGCUACGUGAGAACAUUGGAACAGUUACAAUCGAGCGGUAGUUUCAUAGGCAUUGUUUCCCCAAGCAGUCAGUGUCUGAAAGUGUCACUGAUUGUGCAAGGAUAGCGCUUCAACGAUUCCUGUAGACCGUACACUCGGGCAGGAGCUAUGCCAAAGGGUCCCCAUGCCCCCUUAUAACCCCACAGUUUAAUGUGAAGCUCAAUGUAAUACAUUGGGUAAAAAAACCGAACAACUGUUAACAAUGGAUAUCUUGGUUCUC